rnacentral:rRNA from 1 species
AGUGAACGCUGGCGGUAGGCCUAACACAUGCAAGUCGAACGGCAGCACAGUAAGAGCUUGCUCUUACGGGUGGCGAGUGGCGGACGGGUGAGGAAUACAUCGGAAUCUACUUUUUCGUGGGGGAUAACGUAGGGAAACUUACGCUAAUACCGCAUACGACCUACGGGUGAAAGCAGGGGAUCUUCGGACCUUGCGCGAUUGAAUGAGCCGAUGUCGGAUUAGCUAGUUGGCGGGGUAAAGGCCCACCAAGGCGACGAUCCGUAGCUGGUCUGAGAGUAUGAUCAGCCACACUGGAACUGAGACACGGUCCAGACUCCUACGGAAGCCAGCGGUGGGAAAUAUUGGACAAUGGGCGAAAGCCUGACCCAGCCAUACCGCGUGGGUGAAGAAGGCCUUCGGGUUGUAAAGCCCUUUUGUUGGGAAAGAAAAGCAGCAGGUUAAUACCCCGCUGUUCUGACGGUACCCAAAGAAUAGCACCGGCUAACUUCGUG